rnacentral:rRNA from 1 species
UACGUAGGGUGCGAGCGUUGUCCGGAAUUAUUGGGCGUAAAGAGCUUGUAGGCGGUUUGUCGCGUCUGCUGUGAAAUCCGGGCUCAACCCGGACUUGCAGUGGGUACGGGCAGACUAGAGUGCGGUAGGGGAGACUGGAAUUCCUGGUGUAGCGGUGAAAUGCGCAGAUAUCAGGAGGAACACCGGUGGCGAAGGCGGGUCUCUGGGCCGUAACUGACGCUGAGGAGCGAAAGCGUGGGGAGCAAACAGG